GCAGGGUGUGGUGGCACACACCUGUAGUCCCAGCUACUAAGGAGGCUGAGGUGGGAGGAUGGCUUGGGCCCAGGAGGUCGAGGCUGCAGUGAGCGAGAUUGUACCACUGCACUCCAGCCUGAGUGACAGAGCCAGACCCCAUCUCAA
ensembl:misc_RNA Metazoa_SRP Metazoan signal recognition particle RNA